AGCCUCCGCCUCCUGACGGGAUCCAGCCUUAGUUAAAUGCUUGUGGGAGGCGGGAAUCUUCUCCCCCUCCCCCCUGUUCAGGACGGCAGCCGUCGACGUGUUUCACGGGAAGAAGCGGGCCGGUCCUGUCCCGCUGGCUUUUGUGUCGGGGCAGGGCGUGCUCAGGAGGAAGAGGUGGGCAAGAGCUCGUGUUCACCUUGCUAUAAACGCAGGUCCGUUCAGACGGAGAGCGCCUCCUCGUGUUACUGCUUUGAAGGAAUGGGAUGGACAAAUAGAAUCAGCCCGCCUUUUUUAUGCCUUGCCGGUUUUUCUGCAGAAAAGAAAAAACCUGCGAGAACCGGUGGGAAAACGAGGGAAGCUCUGCUCGGUGGGGCUCUACCUCUCCUGUAAUUUUGCUUCUGCACGUGAACAACUUCACUUCCCCGUGCGCAGGGUUCUGUCGUGACCGGCACCUAACACAAAUGCUGCGCGGAGCAUGAAGACAGCUGUGCGGAAGGAGGGAGAGGCACGCAAGUGCACCCAGCUAAAAGGGAACCUUAGUCUUUACUGUCAGCAGCAAACCUGCAGCAUCAUGAAGAAUACAGGUGUGCGUUAAAUGGCAUAGAUUGAAGUGAUUUGAACUACAAAACAGAGAGAGAUGAGAUCUUAUUUUUAGUUUCUUCUGCUUUCGAUUUAAACUCUGCUGGAGCUGUUAGCAGGUGUACCUAAAACCCACUAAGAAGAUGAAAAACACUUCACAAUCUGUAUGUAAUCCUCAAUGCAAUUAGUGAAA